rnacentral:rRNA from 1 species
ACCCGCUGAACUUAAGCAUAUCAAUAAGCGGAGGAAAAGAAACCAACAGGGAUUGCCCUAGUAACGGCGAGUGAAGCGGCAACAGCUCAAAUUUGAAAUCUGGCGCAAGCCCGAGUUGUAAUUUGUAGAGGAUGCUUCUGGGCAGCGGCCGGUCUAAGUUCCUUGGAACAGGACGUCAUAGAGGGUGAGAAUCCCGUAUGCGACCGGUUGGCACCCGUCACGUAGCUCCUUCGACGAGUCGAGUUGUUUGGGAAUGCAGCUCUAAAUGGGAGGUAAAUUCCUUCUAAAGCUAAAUACCGGCCAGAGACCGAUAGCGCACAAGUAGAGUGAUCGAAAGAUGAAAAGCACUUUGGAAAGAGAGUUAAAAAGCACGUGAAAUUGUUGAAAGGGAAGCGCAUGCAACCAGACUUGUCGGCGGUGUUCCGCCGGUCUUCUGACCGGUCUACUCGCCGCCGGCAGGCCAGCAUCACUUGGGAGCGCCGGAUAAAGGCGCCGGGAAUGUGGCUCCUCGGAGUGUUAUAGCCCGGCGCACAAUACGGCGUCCCCCGAGUGAGGUCCGCGCUUCGGCCAGGAUGCUGGCGUAAUGGUUGUCUGCGGCCCGUCUUGAAACACGG